rnacentral:tRNA from 1 species
GCACAGAUGGUGUAACGGUAACAUCACGGUCUCCAAAACCGUUGUUCCAGGUAUUUCCUCCGGAAACGCUCCGCGAACGAAUCCUGGUCUGUGCG